GGCGGUUGGAAACACUUCAUCAUGACAAAAUACCUAGAACUAAUUAGAAUUAUGGGAAAUACACAGAUGGAGUCUAUAGCGUGUGAUUUCGAGAACCGGGUAUGUUUCAUUAAAUUGCUAUUGUAUUAAUUACUCCACCGAUCAUUGUAAACAUUGAAGUGACCUCUGAAGGUACCUUACCUAUUUUAUUAUGGCAAUGGAAAUAUGCAACUUCUAG
rnacentral:lncRNA from 1 species